rnacentral:rRNA from 1 species
UACGUAGGUGGCGAGCGUUGUCCGGAUUUACUGGGCGUAAAGAGCGCGCAGGCGGUCGUUCAAGUCGCGUGUGAAAGCCCCCCGGCUCAACUGGGGAGGGUCACGCGAUACUGAUCGACUCGAAGGCAGGAGAGGGUAGUGGAAUUCCCGGUGUAGUGGUGAAAUGCGUAGAUAUCGGGAGGAACACCAGUGGCGAAGGCGACUACCUGGCCUGUUCUUGACGCUGAGGCGCGAAAGCUAGGGGAGCAAACGGG